ACGACGACAACGACGACGACGUCUCCGAUGGACGACGUGGGCGGGGAAAGAUCCAAACGACUGAACGAUGCUCCUUUGAUCGAGCUCUUCUUCGCUUUCUUCUCUUUCAUCCUACCAUCUUUCCUUGGACAGACAUUCGACGUAAUUCCAGCUACAAUCGACUCUCUCUCUUUUUCUCUGUCUCUCCCUCUUCCUUUCUUUGUCUAUUUUUCUCAUCCUCUUUUUCUAUUUCGAUCGAUAGCGAUUAUGAAAGUCGCGUUUAGCCGAUGAGAGAACGGUAUAAAGGAACCGCCGUGAAAAGGCAUUCUCAAUGAACGUAUUCCCCGGUAAUGUUUAGUAUAAUGUUUGUGUAGGUCGAUAGUCGAUACUAUAAUGGUGCCUAUUGGCCUCCAAAUAUCCUUUGUUCUAUUAUAUAUUUUCAUUUUCUAAUCAUAUGUAAUGUAUCAAAGUAACUUCGUUAUAUUAGAUCUUCAUCCUCUUUCCUUUAAGUAAUAGAUGUUAUAAUUAGAAAUAGAAAAAUAAACAAAGGAAGCAGAAGUAAGAAGAUUUGAGAAAAGGGAAUGACUUUGAUAAGACAUUCUCACUAAAUAACAUUAUUGAUAUAUACGCGCGUCGGGCCCGAAAACGGUGCAGUCCUCCUUUGGAAGUUCUUGCGCUUCGUGGCUUAGGGGGGUUUCGUUUUGCGAUCUAGCGAUCUCGCGCGUACUCCACUUUUCCUUUGGCCACCAAAGCCGAGUAGGUCGCGUGUAAUCUAGACGGAAACGUCGGUCUGAAAGAAGGGGAUGGGGAUGAUGGUGGCAAAAGGGGUUGCAAAGAGUGAGUGAGAAACAGAGAAAGAGAGAAAAUGCAUCGCUGGUAAAAACACAGAACCUGUGUGUGGGCACUACCUCAAAGUCUAUCUAAAUCCAAACGGUCCUUUAUCUUUUCUUUUUUUUCCCCUCAAGGCUUCAGUCGUUUACGUGGUAAAGAACCUGCACAUACCGCCAUUUCUCUCUCUCUCUCUCUCUCUAUUUCUCUACAUCUCGAUUUCUUUCUUUAUCUCGGCAGGCGAAUGAGAAAGCUAUUUGCGGAAGAUAUGGGUCGGCUACCCCGAAUGGGAAAGACUGCCGUUGGCUGUUGCUGACUGCUGUUGCUGCUACUGCUGCUGCUACUGCUACUGGCGCUGGCUGACUCUUUUUCUCAUCGUUGAUGCAAAGCAAACGGCCAAGAAGCGAGCCUAAGCAACGCGUGGGCUUAUUACGUCGUUGAAGAAGCGAACGUCGUGCUAGGUGGCCCUACGACAUUGCAAGCUAGUUUGAUAGGGAAGCUUGGAUAAGCAGAGGAGGAAACGAAGGAGAAAACUAAUCGACGAGGACGCCCAUAUGAGAUAAAUUAUACCAUAUCUCGCUUUACGUUUCCCGUUUUCAUUUUCGAUUAUAUCGU